ACUUUUUUUUUUUUUUUAUUCCUUUUAGUGUAUUUACGAAUUCAUGAUCUAGGAUAUAAGGUUUCUCAGUGAGGUUAAGUCGAAACUUUGGGGCAUUCAUGAUUGACCACGGGAUGCCUUUGUAGUUCAGGAAUCACAGUGGCAUGCUGGUUAUGCUACAGUCAGUUUGUGAGCCUUUGUCAAUUUGUAGCUUUGAUUUCAAGUUAAAGGUUACUUGGUUAGGAAGAGUUUUGCAUUUCGGCUUUCUUUGGUUCGGAAAGAGUAUUUUACCCGAAAAGGAUGAUUUCAACAGAUGCCAUCGUUAAUCAAGUCGUUUUAUUGUUUUUUCAAAUGCUGAGACGGUAAUAAAAAUCCUUAACCAAAGAUACGGUUUUUAUUGGGACCGGUGG
rnacentral:misc_RNA from 1 species